CGUAGGUGGCAAGCGUUGUCCGGAUUUAUUGGGUUUAAAGGGUGCGUAGGCGGCCUUGUAAGUCAGUGGUGAAAUACUCUAGCUUAACUAGAGGGGUGCCAUUGAUACUGCAGGGCUUGAGUACAGACGAGGUAGGCGGAAUUGACGGUGUAGCGGUGAAAUGCAUAGAUAUCGUCAAGAACUCCGAUAGUGAAGACAGCUUACUAGGCUGUAACUGACGCUGAGGCACGAAAGUGUGGGGAUCAAACAGGAUUAGAUACCCUGGUAGUCCACACUGUAAACGUUGAUGACUCGAUGUUGGCGAUACACAGCCAGCGUCCAAGAGCAAUCGUUAAGUCAUCCACCUGGGGAGUACGCCGGCAAACGGUGA
rnacentral:rRNA from 1 species